UGGGAAUUUGAUCUCGUUGAGUUGCAGGUAAUUAUAAACAGGGACACUCUUGUGAGACUAUUGGCUAAGCACACAGAAAAUUCUGAGGAAACUGUUGCUAAUGUGAUGAGAAGGCCAUUUUACAUGGAUGCAACCAGAGCCAAGGACUUUGGUGUCGUAGACAAGGCAAGUUUCUUCAUGAUUGAUGCCUUUCUUCUAUCAAAUUAACAAUCUUACACUUGGCCCACGACUUAUCAGUUGGUUAACAGAUUGAGUUGUAUACACAUGCAAUUAUGAAAAAAACAAAUUUCGGCCACCAAUUAUCAAAAAUAAAUAGUUAGAAACUUGGAUCACAAAUUUGAACCAAAUCAGCCACCCUAAAUCAAUAUAUCUUCUUAUCCAUUUAUAUGAAAUUCCCCCAAAAAAAUCCCAUUAGACUACUCAAUUACAAUAUUCAGUACUUCUAGGUUUCCAAAAUAAAAAAAA